CAUGCCUGUGUGAUCUUGAUGAGAGAUUUGAAUCACCAGCCUCAUGUUCCAGAGUGAGGGUAUAUAGGGAGAAGCGGACAAAGCCACUCCAGUUUCUUCUCAAAUACAGAGCCAAAAGACUCCACAGCAGAGAGGAAGAUGGGCAGGAGGUGGAGCACCUAGAGGGACAAAACACCUCAAAAACCUCAAGUUACUGAAAGGUAAUCGAGGAUUCUCAAGAGAGGAGCUCCAGAAGCGUACACAGAGUGACAGGAACACCAUGAAAGGCAGCGUUUCCACUUUUGCAAUCACACCUCUCACUGUGCAUGUGCUGGGCCUAAGGCAUGAGGACAUUGUGGCGUCCUGGUAAGGAAGGGGCCAGAUUUGCUGCUGUUGCAGAUGCUCUUCUGUAAGUGCAAUUGUGAAUACACUUCUGCAUCUGAACACUCACUGCUCUUUUACUCCGCCUGCUCCUGAGGUAAGCUCACCUCUUCUGAUCUAGUCCCUGCUUGGCAUAAACUCCAUUGUAAACACUUCAUGGCCUU